CCGCUUGAGUUAGAUUUCCAGCCAAAUUCUUUUUCCCAAGCUCUUUCUCUGAAUUCCAUGUGUUGAGAAUUUGAAGAAGAAAAAAAAUGGCUAGAAAUCUUAACAUACGACACACCAUCAUUAGCCUUGUUAUCCUCAUAUUGCUCAUCUUCUUAGGACUAGGGGCAAUCAAAAUUUUCAACCAAAAAAAAGAAGCCAUCAAAAUAGAUGCACGAGUCAAGUUUGAGCAUCCUGAUGAUGAAGUGGAAGCUCUAAGAGAAAUCAACCCCUGCAGCGGAGACCCAAACUGGGAAACACCAAACUAUACUCAAGACGGGCCAUUGUACAACAGUUCUCUUAUUUGCAAUUGUUGCUCUCCUGGUGUUGUUAAAUGUCGCAUUGUUGAUAAACUACUUGUUAAAGGGGAGGACCGUUGUGGUAAAAUUCCACCAUCUCUAGCAACGUUACCUUACCUUGGAGCAGUUGAUUUCACAUGGAACUACCUAAGUGGUGGUAUACCUCCAGAAUGGACUUCUAUGAAGGACUUGAAUUAUCUGUCCUUGUAUGCGAACAAUUUGUCAGGACCAAUCCCCAUCUACUUGGGAAACAUGACCUUUCCUGUAUAUGUGAGGUUAGAUAACAGCAUGUUUUGUGGAACUAUUCCCCCUGAGGUCGCCAAACUUUUUAACAAGGAGCAUCUCAUUUUGGCAGCAUUCUGCCAAGCGAUGUUCAAUAAUGCAUUUAACUCAACCAUCAACAUGCACGACUAUGAUCGACAAGAAUAUAAGGAGAAAAGUUGGCAGUGCAAUAUGGACCCAACGCUUGCUUAACAGGGUAUGUGAAGGGAUGUCAUCCGAAUCCACUUCCCAACUUUACAAUCCACGGGCUCUGGCCCAAAACAAUUUCCCCACGAAAAAAUGUUACUUUCGAUGAAAAUGUUUUAAAAGGUCAGCUCUUAAGGGACCUCCAUUAUUAUUGGCCAAAUUUAAGAAAUGACUAUGAUAAGACCUUCUGGGCACUCGAGUGGGUAAAACAUGGACCUGAUUACAAUGUAGGUGAUGGUUCUCAACUUGCGUAUUUUAACCAAACAGUUAAUCUGUUCGGUAAGGACGAGAUACGUGAAGCUCUGAGUAUCUUGGGUGCUGAAGAAAAAAGGUCCUUUAUGUUUAACGAUACGCUUGAACAGCUAAAACGUAUAACGACCCCUGAAUUGGUUUGCAAGAAAUUUGAAAAAGAAGGUGAAACACUGCUGGUCGAGAUAAGGUUUUGUCUGGGAAACAAUUUACAAAAUCUCACGGAUUGCCAGCCCAGUAACAUAUCGGCGAGCUGCAACCCAGAAUUUUUUGUUUACUAUUUACCACCAAAAAAAUAAAAUUAAAAAAAUUACUUUUUUUUUUUUUGACUCUUUUUAUGAUGGAAUUACAGAGGAAGCCGUUGCUUCCUUCUCUUUGUAACGCCCUCGUUGGGCCCUCUUUUAUGCUUUUAUUAUGUGUGCCUUAAACCAAGCCAUGAAUAUGAAUAAGGAAGUAUUAACUGAGAAACUAAA